rnacentral:misc_RNA from 1 species
GUUGUUUCAAAUGAGUUCAAAAAAACUUGUGACUUUUGAACUUUCUUUCUUCUUCUUGAUUUUAUUAUUAGGGUUUUCGAGUGCAAAUCUCGAUAAAGAUAGAGAAGAAUGUGCUAACCAACUCGUCGGUUUGGCCACGUGUCUUCCUUAUGUCAGCGGAGAGGCCAAAUCUCCCACACCGGAUUGUUGCACCGGUCUGAAAGAAGUUUUAGAUAAAAGCAAGAUAUGUCUAUGCAUCCUGGUAAAAGACAGAAAUGACCCUAGCCUUGGGCUUAAGAUCAAUGCUACACUUGCACUAAGCCUCCCUACUCUAUGUCAUGCUCCACCUAAUAUGUCUAAUGUAUCUAUGUGCCCCGAAUUGUUGCAUUUGGCACCAAAUUCACCAGAUGCUAAGGUUUUUCAAGAUUUUGCAAAGAGUGCAAAAGGAAGUUCUGCUGCUCCAUCUGCACCAGUUAGUGGGAACUCUAGUGGAAAACCAGCAAAUUCUUCAACAAAUGAUAAGAAUGAUGGAGGACAUAAAAGGAGAUGGAUG